rnacentral:tRNA from 1 species
CAAAGUGUAGCUUAAUUAAAGCUUCUCGCUUACACCGAGAGCAUAUCUGUUAAACUCAGAUCACCUUGA